rnacentral:misc_RNA from 1 species
GCACGCCGCACGCGUAUGCGCUUGUUAACCUAACCUAUAGAACGUAUCUUUUUGGGGAGAUAUAUUUGGAGUUUGCGAACGAUACGCGCACGUUUUACGAUCGAUAAGUAAUCGGUUUCGUAGAUUCAAUAUUUUUCGUACUACGAAAAAUAAUAAACGUUGAAGUUGGAUGUGAACAAGUGUUACUCGCUUAUAUCGCUUUAAAGUUGAUAAUUCAAAGUUCUUUAUUUGGAAGACCUUACAUACAUACUUCGAAUGGAAGUAUGUACAAAAAUAAAAUCACAAAGGUAAUGUAUGAUUGAUUGCUGUGAAACAAAAUCAAAGUACAUACAUAUUAAUAAAAGGAAAAUAUGGAAAAAUGAGAUUAAAAUUAAAGACCGUAACCUCUUCUAACUAAAUGCAACGAUGAUACAUUGAUACGCAAUCGCUAAUAUAAUCGGACGCCAUCUCGUGCUAUGCAAAGGUAUCAACUAAAAUCAGUAGUUUUCCAGUUCUGAUUCGGCAUUCGCUUAAAACGCAAUCAACUAGACCAAGAAUUGUGACGGAUUACGAUCCAUUACGGCAGUCAGAAAUAAGUAAGAGGAGCAAAGAGGACACGUAAAAGAUGGCGGAUGCCGUUGUAGACGGGACUCCAAUGUCCCGAUUUUUUUGUCAUAAAUGCAGUAUUGAAAUUGAACGCUUAUUACCUGAUUAUACGUGUCCAAGAUGUGCCAGUGGCUUUAUCGAAGAAUUAGAAAGUAGUAGCAAUGACAGUGGUUCUGGAAUAGAUAUUAGUAGUGAAGACUUAAGUGACAUCAAUGAUGAUCCGCCAUAUGAUUUCUCACAAGGUUAUGAUGCAGAGCGUGAUUUCAUAGAGAUGGUAUUAGGGAUUUCAAAUCGAGGACAAAGAUCUACUACUUCAAACAGGAAUACUGGUCCUACUAGUAGGAGAACAUGGGUUCAUUGGCCACGUAACGUUCAUGACAGACGUCGUUCAAACAGUUUUGGAAGACAAGAACCUGUGUCUGUAGAGAACUUCAUACAAGAAUUUAUACUUAAUCUCUCAGGAGUAGGUGUAGCUCAAACUGUAACGCAACCUGGACAGCUACCUGUAUUCAAUAUUAGACUGUUCUUGGGAAAUCCCGGAGAUUAUGUUUGGGGUCAGGAUGGUUUGGAUGCAAUCGUAACGCAGUUGUUAAACCAGCUGGAUGGAACAGGACCACCCCCUUUACCACGAAAGCAAAUAGAUGAAAUACCAACAACAACGGUGACUCAGUCUCAUGUCGACAGCAAACUUCAGUGUUCUGUCUGUUGGGAGGACUUUAAAUUAUCUGAAUCAGUGAAACAACUAUCGUGUCAACAUUUAUAUCAUGGUCCAUGCAUUAUACCAUGGUUAGAAUUGCAUGGUACUUGCCCUAUUUGUAGGCAGAAUUUGGGAGACCAAAAUUCGGGGGAAGUUAAUCAAGAUACUGUAGGACCUAGCUUAGCGGCUCUUUUUAGGUAUGUUAUACAAUGUGGGUGAUAUAUUCGUAUCUGAAGAUAAAAAUGACAAGAACAUACAUUGAUGUUCUAGUUUUCAGGGAUGGCAGCCAAUGUAUCAAACAGUACUAGAACAUCGUCGACAUCAUCUUCGGGUGGAAAUAACUCCAGUAGUAAUUCAACGAGUGAGAUUUGAG